rnacentral:rRNA from 1 species
AUUGAACGCUGGCGGCAUGCCUUACACAUGCAAGUCGAACGGCAGCACGGGAGCAAUCCUGGUGGCGAGUGGCGAACGGGUGAGUAAAGUAUCGGAACGUGCCCAGUCGUGGGGGAUAACGUAGCGAAAGUUACGCUAAUACCGCAUACGAUCUAUGGAUGAAAGCGGGGGAUCGCAAGACCUCGCGCGAUUGGAGCGGCCGAUAUCAGAUUAGGUAGUUGGUGGGGUAAAGGCUCACCAAGCCGACGAUCUGUAGCUGGUCUGAGAGGACGACCAGCCACACUGGGACUGAGACACGGCCCAGACUCCUACGGGAGGCAGCAGUGGGGAAUUUUGGACAAUGGGCGAAAGCCUGAUCCAGCCAUGCCGCGUGCAGGAUGAAGGCCUUCGGGUUGUAAACUGCUUUUGUACGGAACGAAAAGGUUUGGCCUAAUAAGCUGGACCCAUGACGGUACCGUAAGAAUAAGCACCGGCUAACUACGUGCCAGCCGCCGCAGUAA